rnacentral:rRNA from 1 species
AUUGACCUCAAUCAGAGACC